rnacentral:rRNA from 1 species
UGGGGGAUAUUGCACAAUGGGCGAAAGCCUGAUGCAGCGACGCCGCGUGGGGGAUGAAGGCUUUCGGGUUGUAAACCUCUUUCGCUAUCGAACAAGGCCCGCUUAGAGUGGGUUGAGGGUAGGUGGAGAAGAAGCGCCGGCUAACUACGUGCCAGCAGCCGCGGUAAUACGUAGGGCGCGAGCGUUGUCCGGAAUUAUUGGGCGUAAAGGGCUUGUAGGCGGCUUGUUGCGCCUGCUGUGAAAACGCGGGGCUUAACUUCGCGCGUGCAGUGGGUACGGGCAGGCUUGAGUGUGGUAGGGGUGACUGGAAUUCCAGGUGUAGCGGUGGAAUGCGCAGAUAUCUGGAGGAACACCGAUGGCGAAGGCAGGUCACUGGGCCAUUACUGACGCUGAGGAGCGAAAGCAUGGGUAGCGAACAGG